rnacentral:rRNA from 1 species
UUAAGCGACUAAGCGUACACGGUGGAUGCCCUGGCAGUCAGAGGCGAUGAAGGACGUGCUAAUCUGCGAUAAGCGUCGGUAAGGUGAUAUGAACCGUUAUAACCGGCGAUUUCCGAAUGGGGAAACCCAGUGUGAUUCGUCACACUAUCAUUAACUGAAUCCAUAGGUUAAUGAGGCGAACCGGGGGAACUGAAACAUCUAAGUACCCCGAGGAAAAGAAAUCAACCGAGAUUCCCCCAGUAGCGGCGAGCGAACGGGGAGCAGCCCAGAGCCUGAAUCAGUGUGUGUGUUAGUGGAAGCGUCUGGAAAGGCGUGCGAUACAGGGUGACAGCCCCGUACACAAAAAUGCACAUGCUGUGAGCUCGAUGAGUAGGGCGGGACACGUGGUAUCCUGUCUGAAUAUGGGGGGACCAUCCUCCAAGGCUAAAUACUCCUGACUGACCGAUAGUGAACCAGUACCGUGAGGGAAAGGCGAAAAGAACCCCGGCGAGGGGAGUGAAAAAGAACCUGAAACCGUGUACGUACAAGCAGUGGGAGCACGCUUAGGCGUGUGACUGCGUACCUUUUGUAUAAUGGGUCAGCGACUUAUAUUCUGUAGCAAGGUUAACCGAAUAGGGGAGCCGAAGGGAAACCGAGUCUUAACUGGGCGUUAAGUUGCAGGGUAUAGACCCGAAACCCGGUGAUCUAGCCAUGGGCAGGUUGAAGGUUGGGUAACACUAACUGGAGGACCGAACCGACUAAUGUUGAAAAAUUAGCGGAUGACUUGUGGCUGGGGGUGAAAGGCCAAUCAAACCGGGAGAUAGCUGGUUCUCCCCGAAAGCUAUUUAGGUAGCGCCUCGUGAAUUCAUCUCCGGGGGUAGAGCACUGUUUCGGCAAGGGGGUCAUCCCGACUUACCAACCCGAUGCAAACUGCGAAUACCGGAGAAUGUUAUCACGGGAGACACACGGCGGGUGCUAACGUCCGUCGUGAAGAGGGAAACAACCCAGACCGCCAGCUAAGGUCCCAAAGUCAUGGUUAAGUGGGAAACGAUGUGGGAAGGCCCAGACAGCCAGGAUGUUGGCUUAGAAGCAGCCAUCAUUUAAAGAAAGCGUAAUAGCUCACUGGUCGAGUCGGCCUGCGCGGAAGAUGUAACGGGGCUAAACCAUGCACCGAAGCUGCGGCAGCGACGCUUAUGCGUUGUUGGGUAGGGGAGCGUUCUGUAAGCCUGUGAAGGUGUACUGUGAGGUAUGCUGGAGGUAUCAGAAGUGCGAAUGCUGACAUAAGUAACGAUAAAGCGGGUGAAAAGCCCGCUCGCCGGAAGACCAAGGGUUCCUGUCCAACGUUAAUCGGGGCAGGGUGAGUCGACCCCUAAGGCGAGGCCGAAAGGCGUAGUCGAUGGGAAACAGGUUAAUAUUCCUGUACUUGGUGUUACUGCGAAGGGGGGACGGAGAAGGCUAUGUUGGCCGGGCGACGGUUGUCCCGGUUUAAGCGUGUAGGCUGGUUUUCCAGGCAAAUCCGGAAAAUCAAGGCUGAGGCGUGAUGACGAGGCACUACGGUGCUGAAGCAACAAAUGCCCUGCUUCCAGGAAAAGCCUCUAAGCAUCAGGUAACAUCAAAUCGUACCCCAAACCGACACAGGUGGUCAGGUAGAGAAUACCAAGGCGCUUGAGAGAACUCGGGUGAAGGAACUAGGCAAAAUGGUGCCGUAACUUCGGGAGAAGGCACGCUGAUAUGUAGGUGAAGUCCCUCGCGGAUGGAGCUGAAAUCAGUCGAAGAUACCAGCUGGCUGCAACUGUUUAUUAAAAACACAGCACUGUGCAAACACGAAAGUGGACGUAUACGGUGUGACGCCUGCCCGGUGCCGGAAGGUUAAUUGAUGGGGUUAGCGCAAGCGAAGCUCUUGAUCGAAGCCCCGGUAAACGGCGGCCGUAACUAUAACGGUCCUAAGGUAGCGAAAUUCCUUGUCGGGUAAGUUCCGACCUGCACGAAUGGCGUAAUGAUGGCCAGGCUGUCUCCACCCGAGACUCAGUGAAAUUGAACUCGCUGUGAAGAUGCAGUGUACCCGCGGCAAGACGGAAAGACCCCGUGAACCUUUACUAUAGCUUGACACUGAACAUUGAGCCUUGAUGUGUAGGAUAGGUGGGAGGCUUGGAAGUGUGGACGCCAGUCUGCAUGGAGCCGACCUUGAAAUACCACCCUUUAAUGUUUGAUGUUCUAACGUUGACCCGUGAUCCGGGUUGCGGACAGUGUCUGGUGGGUAGUUUGACUGGGGCGGUCUCCUCCUAAAGAGUAACGGAGGAGCACGAAGGUUGGCUAAUCCUGGUCGGACAUCAGGAGGUUAGUGCAAUGGCAUAAGCCAGCUUGACUGCGAGCGUGACGGCGCGAGCAGGUGCGAAAGCAGGUCAUAGUGAUCCGGUGGUUCUGAAUGGAAGGGCCAUCGCUCAACGGAUAAAAGGUACUCCGGGGAUAACAGGCUGAUACCGCCCAAGAGUUCAUAUCGACGGCGGUGUUUGGCACCUCGAUGUCGGCUCAUCACAUCCUGGGGCUGAAGUAGGUCCCAAGGGUAUGGCUGUUCGCCAUUUAAAGUGGUACGCGAGCUGGGUUUAGAACGUCGUGAGACAGUUCGGUCCCUAUCUGCCGUGGGCGCUGGAGAACUGAGGGGGGCUGCUCCUAGUACGAGAGGACCGGAGUGGACGCAUCACUGGUGUUCGGGUUGUCAUGCCAAUGGCACUGCCCGGUAGCUAAAUGCGGAAGAGAUAAGUGCUGAAAGCAUCUAAGCACGAAACUUGCCCCGAGAUGAGUUCUCCCUGACUCCUUGAGAGUCCUGAAGGAACGUUGAAGACGACGACGUUGAUAGGCCGGGUGUGUAAGCGCAGCGAUGCGUUGAGCUAACCGGUACUAAUGAACCGUGAGGCUUAACCUU